rnacentral:rRNA from 1 species
UACGAAGGAUGCAAGCGUUAUCCGGAUUUAUUGGGUUUAAAGGGUGCGUAGGCGGAUCGAUAAGUCAGUGGUGAAAGCCUGCAGCUUAACUGCAGAACUGCCAUUGAUACUGUCGAUCUUGAGUAUCGUUGAAGUGGGCGGAAUGUGUGGUGUAGCGGUGAAAUGCUUAGAUAUCACACAGAACACCGAUUGCGAAGGCAGCUCACUAAGCGAAAACUGACGCUGAGGCACGAAAGCGUGGGGAGCAAACAGG